AGCAGCCGCGGUAAUUCCAGCUCCAAUAGUGUAUAUUAAAGUUGUUGUGAUUAAAACGCUCGUAGUUGAAGAUAAAAUAUAUCCAUAGUUCAGAACAUGAGUAUGACUUGUCAUAUGAAUGUGAUGAACACUAAACAUGGAUAUAGUAAGGAAUGACAGGACAUGAAUGUGUUUUGUUGUUAAUUACUUUGAAAAAAUUAGAGUGCUUAAAGCGAAUCUAUUAAAGAAUAGUGAAGCAUGGGACAAUAAAGUGAAUAGGAGAUCUUCGGAUUUCGUAUUAGGAAGAAAGAUUAAGAGGAAUAAUUGGGGUAAUUCAGAAAAUAAGGGAGAGGUGAAAAUUCAUGAUCGUUAUAAGAUGAACUAGGCGAAAGCAUUUUACUCAAUUAUGUUCAUUAAUCAAGAACGAAAGUUA
rnacentral:rRNA from 1 species